AGUGAACGCUGGCGGUAGGCCUAACACAUGCAAGUCGAACGGCAGCACAGUAAGAGCUUGCUCUUACGGGUGGCGAGUGGCGGACGGGUGAGGAAUACAUCGGAAUCUACUUUUUCGUGGGGGAUAACGUAGGGAAACUUACGCUAAUACCGCAUACGACCUACGGGUGAAAGCAGGGGAUCUUCGGACCUUGCGCGAUUGAAUGAGCCGAUGUCGGAUUAGCUAGUUGGCGGGGUAAAGGCCCACCAAGGCGACGAUCCGUAGCUGGUCUGAGAGGAUGAUCAGGCACACUGGAACUGAGACACGGUCCAGACUCCUACGGGAGGCAGCAGUGGGGAAUAUUGGACAAUGGGCGCAAGCCUGAUCCAGCCAUACCGCGUGGGUGAAGAAGGCCUUCGGGUUGGAAAGCCCUUUUGUUGGGAAAGAAAAGCAGCAGGUUAAUACCCCGCUGUUCUGACGGUACCCAAAGAAUAAGCACCGGCUAACUUCGUG
rnacentral:rRNA from 1 species